GCAUACAAAUUGAAAAGCGAUUUUAUAUAACAUUUAACAUGUUGAUUUAGUUGCAAGACAGUGUUACUUUUUAUUAAUAUAUCGCAUGAAAUCAGUUAAGUGUGACAAAAUGUAUUGAGAAAUUUACAUUACGUUUAUUAUUCUUGACUUAACUUUAAAGUCCAACAAAAUCAAUCUCAUAAUUCAUUUGCCAAAUGGAGCCAUAAACCAGGGGUUUACGCAACUAAACUUAUGCAAAAUGAUAAAAAAGGGACCGAGGAAUAUGCUCUCAAGGGAUCAGGAUUACCAUUUGGAUGGAUGAAUGGAAGCAUGGAUGACCAAGGGGGAGGCAAUCCAUCUUGGGGCGUUUAUUUUAUGAGCAUGUGGCAAGUGAGGCAUAAAAGUGGAAGAGGCCAGGUACUGAGUAGCACCAAAGCAAGCCACCAACUCACCAAUUCACUCGGCGAAGCGCAGAGAUCCCACAGAAAAGGAAAAGCGGCACAAGGCUCAUGCAGUGAGGGAAACCCCGUCAGGAUAAUUCUCAUUGCCCCCCGUCUGUGCGAUAAUCAAUUUAAAAUUUUCCACGCCUUUCACGUUACCAACAAAUUUUCAUUAAAUGUAACAACCAGCAGCGCACAAAAAAAAGUCUUAAGCAGCAAGAAAUCCAAUAAAAUGAACGAGUUGAAA